AACGAACGCUGGCGGCGUGCCUAACACAUGCAAGUCGUGCGAGAAAGUUCCUUCGGGAGCGAGUAAAGCGGCGCACGGGUGAGUAACACGUAGGUAACCUGCCCCCCAGUCUGGAACAACUAGAGGAAACUCUAGCUAAUGCCGGAUGAGACCACGAUCCCUUCGGGGGUUGCGGCCAAAGAUGGCCUCUACUUGUAAGCUAUCGCUGAGGGAUGGGCCUGCGGGCCAUCAGCUUGUUGGUGAGGUAACGGCUCACCAAGGCUGUGAUGGCUAGCUGGUCUGAGAGGAUGACCAGCCACACUGGGACUGAGACACGGCCCAGACUCCUACGGGAGGCAGCAGUGGGGAAUAUUGCGCAAUGGGCGAAAGCCUGACGCAGCGACGCCGCGUGGGUGAUGAAGGCCU
rnacentral:rRNA from 1 species